rnacentral:rRNA from 1 species
AGCGAACGCGGUGAACUGAAACAUCUAAGUAACCGCAGGAAAAGAAAUCAACCGAGAUUCCCAAAGUAGUGGCGAGCGAAAUGGGAUGAGCCUUGCACUCUUUAUUUGUAUUGUUAGCCGAACGCUCUGGAAAGUGCGGCCAUAGCAGGUGAUAGCCCUGUAGGCGAAAACAGUAUGAAAGAACUAGGUGUGCGACAAGUAGGGCGGGACACGUGAAAUCCUGUCUGAAGAUGGGGGGACCAUCCUCCAAGGCUAAAUACUCGUGAUCGACCGAUAGUGAACCAGUACCGUGAGGGAAAGGCGAAAAGAACCCCGGGAGGGGAGUGAAAUAGAUCCUGAAACCGCAUGCAUACAAACAGUCGGAGCCUCGAAAGGGGUGACGGCGUACCUUUUGUAUAAUGGGUCAGCGACUUACGUUCAGUAGCAAGCUUAACCGUAUAGGGCAGGCGUAGCGAAAGCGAGUCCGAAUAGGGCGUUCAGUUGCUGGGCGUAGACCCGAAACCAAGUGAUCUAUCCAUGGCCAGGAUGAAGGUGCGGUAACACGUACUGGAGGUCCGAACCCACUAACGUUGAAAAGUUAGGGGAUGAGCUGUGGAUAGGGGUGAAAGGCUAAACAAACUUGGAAAUAGCUGGUUCUCUCCGAAAACUAUUUAGGUAGUGCCUCGUGUCUCACCUUCGGGGGUAGAGCACUGUCAUGGUUGGGGGGUCUAUUGCAGAUUACCCCGCCAUAGCAAACUCCGAAUACCGAAGAGUGCAAUCACGGGAGACAGACAUCGGGUGCUAACGUCCGGUGUCAAGAGGGAAACAACCCAGACCGCCAGCUAAGGUCCCCAAAUAUAGCUAAGUGGGAAACGAAGUGGGAAGGCUAAAACAGUCAGGAGGUUGGCUUAGAAGCAGCCACCCUUUAAAGAAAGCGUAAUAGCUCACUGAUCGAGUCGUCCUGCGCGGAAGAUGUAACGGGGCUAAGCUAUAUACCGAAGCUGCGGAUGCGUGCUUUGCACGCAUGGUAGGAGAGCGUUCCGUAAGCCUGCGAAGGUGCCUUGUAAAGGGUGCUGGAGGUAUCGGAAGUGCGAAUGCUGACAUGAGUAGCGAUAAAGGGGGUGAAAGGCCCCCUCGCCGUAAGCCCAAGGUUUCCUACGCAACGUUCAUCGGCGUAGGGUGAGUCGGCCCCUAAGGCGAGGCAGAAAUGCGUAGCUGAUGGGAAGCAGGUCAAUAUUCCUGCACCAUUGUUAGAUGCGAUGGGGGGACGGAUCGCGGAAGGUUGUCCGGGUGUUGGAAGUCCCGGUCGCUGCAUUGGAGAAGGCGCUUAGGCAAAUCCGGGCGCAGGAUUCAAGGGUGUGGCGCGAGCUUCUUCGGGAGCGAAGCAAUUGGAAGUGGUUCCAAGAAAAGCCUCUAAGCUUCAGUCUAACGAUGACCGUACCGCAAACCGACACAGGUGGGCGAGAUGAGUAUUCUAAGGCGCUUGAGAGAACUCGGGAGAAGGAACUCGGCAAAUUGGUACCGUAACUUCGGGAUAAGGUACGCCCUUGUAGCUUGACUGGCCUGCGCCAGGAGGGUGAAGGGGUUGCAAUAAACUGGUGGCUGCGACUGUUUAAUAAAAACACAGCACUCUGCAAACACGAAAGUGGACGUAUAGGGUGUGACGCCUGCCCGGUGCCGGAAGAUUAAAUGAUGGGGUGCAAGCUCUUGAUUGAAGUCCCGGUAAACGGCGGCCGUAACUAUAACGGUCCUAAGGUAGCGAAAUUCCUUGUCGGGUAAGUUCCGACCUGCACGAAUGGCGUAACGAUGGCCACACUGUCUCCUCCCGAGACUCAGCGAAGUUGAAGUGUUUGUGAUGAUGCAAUCUACCCGCGGCUAGACGGAAAGACCCCAUGAACCUUUACUGUAGCUUUGCAUUGGACUUUGAACCGAUCUGUGUAGGAUAGGUGGGAGGCUAUGAAACCGGAACGCUAGUUUCGGUGGAGCCGUCCUUGAAAUACCACCCUGGUUUGUUUGAGGUUCUAACCUUGGCCCGUGAUCCGGGUCGGGGACAGUGCAUGGUAGGCAGUUUGACUGGGGCGGUCUCCUCCCAAAGCGUAACGGAGGAGUACGAAGGUACGCUAGGUACGGUCGGAAAUCGUGCUGAUAGUGCAAUGGCAUAAGCGUGCUUAACUGCGAGACCGACAAGUCGAGCAGGUGCGAAAGCAGGUCAUAGUGAUCCGGUGGUUCUGUAUGGAAGGGCCAUCGCUCAACGGAUAAAAGGUACUCUGGGGAUAACAGGCUGAUACCGCCCAAGAGUUCAUAUCGACGGCGGUGUUUGGCACCUCGAUGUCGGCUCAUCUCAUCCUGGGGCUGUAGCCGGUCCCAAGGGUAUGGCUGUUCGCCAUUUAAAGAGGUACGUGAGCUGGGUUUAAAACGUCGUGAGACAGUUUGGUCCCUAUCUGCCGUGGGCGUUGGAUAUUUGAAGGGGGCUGCUCCUAGUACGAGAGGACCGGAGUGGACGAACCUCUGGUGUACCGGUUGUCACGCCAGUGGCAUCGCCGGGUAGCUAUGUUCGGAAGAGAUAACCGCUGAAAGCAUCUAAGCGGGAAACUCGCCUUAAGAUGAGAUAUCCCUGGGGACUAGAUCCCCUUGAAGGGUCGUUCGAGACCAGGACGUUGAUAGGUCAGGUGUGUAAGCGCAGUAAUGCGUUCAGCUAACUGAUACUAAUUGCCCGUAAGGCUUGAUCC